rnacentral:tRNA from 1 species
GAGGGUAUAGCUCAGUGGUAGAACACAGUGUUUAGCAUGCAUAAGGUCCUGGGUUCAAUCCCUGGUACCUCCA